UACAGGCUUAACACAUGCAAGUCGAGGGGCAGCAUGGUCUUAGCUUGCUAAGGCCGAUGGCGACCGGCGCACGGGUGAGUAACACGUAUCCAACCUGCCGUCUACUCUUGGACAGCCUUCUGAAAGGAAGAUUAAUACAAGAUGGCAUCAUGAGUCCGCAUGUUCACAUGAUUAAAGGUAUUCCGGUAGACGAUGGGGAUGCGUUCCAUUAGAUAGUAGGCGGGGUAACGGCCCACCUAGUCUUCGAUGGAUAGGGGUUCUGAGAGGAAGGUCCCCCACAUUGGAACUGAGACACGGUCCAAAUUCCUACGGGAGGCAGCAGUGAGGAAUAUUGGUCAAUGGGCGAGAGCCUGAACCAGCCAAGUAGCGUGAAGGAUGACUGCCCUAUGGGUUGUAAACUUCUUUUAUAAAGGAAUAAAGUCGGGUAUGGAUACCCGUUUGCAUGUACUUUAUGAAUAAGGAUCGGCUAACUCCGUGCCAGCAGCCGCGGUAAUACGGAGGAUCCGAGCGUUAUCCGGAUUUAUUGGGUUUAAAGGGAGCGUAGAUGGAUGUUUAAGUCAGUUGUGAAAGUUUGCGGCUCAACCGUAAAAUUGCAGUUGAUACUGGAUAUCUUGAGUGCAGUUGAGGCAGGCGGAAUUCGUGGUGUAGCGGUGAAAUGCUUAGAUAUCACGAAGAACUCCGAUUGCGAAGGCAGCCUGCUAAGCUGCAACUGACAUUGAGGCUCGAAAGUGUGGGUAUCAAACAGGAUUAGAUACCCUGGUAGUCCACACGGUAAACGAUGAAUACUCGCUGUUUGCGAUAUACUGCAAGCGGCCAAGCGAAAGCGUUAAGUAUUCCACCUGGGGAGUACGCCGGCAACGGUGAAACUCAAAGGAAUUGACGGGGGCCCGCACAAGCGGAGGAACAUGUGGUUUAAUUCGAUGAUACGCGAGGAACCUUACCCAGGCUUAAAUUGCAGAUGAAUUACGGUGAAAGCCGUAAGCCGCAAGGCAUCUGUGAAGGUGCUGCAUGGUUGUCGUCAGCUCGUGCCGUGAGGUGUCGGCUUAAGUGCCAUAACGAGCGCAACCCUUGUUGUCAGUUACUAACAGGUUCCGCUGAGGACUCUGACAAGACUGCCAUCGUAAGAUGUGAGGAAGGUGGGGAUGACGUCAAAUCAGCACGGCCCUUACGUCCGGGGCUACACACGUGUUACAAUGGGGGGUACAGAGGGCCGCUACCACGCGAGUGGAUGCCAAUCCCAAAAACCUCUCUCAGUUCGGACUGGAGUCUGCAACCCGACUCCACGAAGCUGGAUUCGCUAGUAAUCGCGCAUCAGCCACGGCGCGGUGAAUACGUUCCCGGGCCUUGUACACACCGCCCGUCAAGCCAUGGGAGCCGGGGGUACCUGAAGUGCGUAACCGCGAGGAGCGCCCUAGGGUAAAACUGGUGACUGGGGCUAAGUAGU
rnacentral:rRNA from 1 species